ACGGUUCUAAUUUUUUUUUAUUAAUUACAUAAAUUCAUUUAUAUUUGAAGUGCGAGAAUUGUUCAACCGGAAAAUAAUUUAACAGGGGAAAACAGAGCAGGAAGGGAGAGGAUUCCUUAAAGCCAAAGCUAUGUGAAGAACUCAAUGCACAAUAACCAUACCACAAGAAUUUAUAACUCCAAAAAAAUAAUAUGAUUUACCAUUACUAAAUAAGAACAUUGUUGAAGUUAAACAAAGUACAGAAAACAUAUCCAAAAUAAACAAAUACCCACAAUCCAAAUUACACCAAAUUAGCUCCAUUCCCAGUCAUUUUAGAGAAAGAAAGAAAGAGUAUUUACAGACAAUCAUCUUCUCUCUCGUCAACCCAUUUUCUCUCUCUAGAUGAUGAUUCAGUCAGCAGUAAGAAUUCAAUGAAUGGAAACUAAUCAAAAGUGGCAGCCGCAACAGAUGAAGAAAAUACAGAGUGUUGAGACCAAAACAAUCCCCUCAAAAACAGAGACGAUUUUGAACAAAAAAUCAUCCACAACCCAAUUGGGCAAGCUGAAGGACACCGCCUUCUUCCAUCUUAACCCGGAACUCCUCCUAAAUCUCCUCCAUGAACAACCCUUCUUCCCUAAACUCUUGAACAAGAACAUUAAAACACUUUCCUUAUUACUACUACUAGUAUUCUCCAUGCCUCUGCUUUCUCUCUCUCUAAAUUCUAGCUUUCUUGUGGGUUUCUCUCUACUUUCUCUCUCUAAAUUCUAACUUUCUUGUGGGUUUGUGUUUGGACUUGAUGUGUUGGUAAAUGGUAAGGGUUUUAUAAGGAGGGGAGUAUAGAAUAACUGUUCCGCG
rnacentral:lncRNA from 1 species